UACGGAGGGGGCUAGCGUUGUUCGGAAUUACUGGGCGUAAAGCGCACGUAGGCGGCUUUGUAAGUUAGAGGUGAAAGCCCAGGGCUUAACCCUGGAACUGCCUUUAAGACUGCAUCGCUAGAAUCGUGGAGAGGUGAGUGGAAUUCCGAGUGUAGAGGUGAAAUUCGUAGAUAUUCGGAAGAACACCAGUGGCGAAGGCGACUCACUGGACACGUAUUGACGCUGAGGUGCGAAAGCGUGGGGAGCAAACAGG
rnacentral:rRNA from 1 species